CACGGGGGGAGCAAGCGUUGUUCGGAAUCACUGGGCGUAAAGGGCGUGUAGGCGGUCAGGUAAGCGGGAUGUGAAAUGCCCCGGCUCACCCGGGGACCGGCAUCCCAUACUGCUUGGCUUGAGGGCGGGAGAGGUCGGUGGAAUUCCCGGUGUAGUGGUGAAAUGCGUAGAGAUCGGGAGGAACACCUGUGGCGAAGGCGGCCGACUGGGCCGACCCUGACGCUGAGGCGCGAAGGCGUGGGGAGCGAACGGG
rnacentral:rRNA from 1 species